GAUGAACGCUGGCGGCGUGCCUAAUACAUGCAAGUCGAGCGAACAGACGAGGAGCUUGCUCCUCUGACGUUAGCGGCGGACGGGUGAGUAACACGUGUAUAACCUACCUAUAAGACUGGGAUAACUUCGGGAAACCGGAGCUAAUACCGGAUAAUAUAUUGAACCGCAUGGUUCAAUAGUGAAAGACGGUUUUGCUGUCACUUAUAGAUGGUUCCGCGCCGCAUUAGCUAGUUGGUAAGGUAACGGCUUACCAAGGCAACGAUGCGUAGCCGACCUGAGAGGGUGAUAGGCCACACUGGAACUGAGACACGGUCCAGACUCCUACGGGAGGCAGCAGUAGGGAAUCUUCCGCAAUGGGCGAAAGCCUGACGGAGCAACGCCGCGUGAGUGAUGAAGGUCUUCGGAUCGUAAAACUCUGUUAUGAGGGAAGAACAAAUGUGUAAGUAACUGUGCACGUCUUGACGGUACCUAAUCAGAAAGCCACGGCUAACUACGUG
rnacentral:rRNA from 1 species